GUUUUCUGGGUAGGACACUGCCAUUGUACCCUUGAGCAAGUCAGUCUCAUUCUGUGAAAACGAGCUCCACCAGGGGGAUAAUCAACAGAGGCCUUCAAUUAACGCAUCGCAGAGCUGUGUCUUAAAGCCUUCGCUUUGCGCCGAACAGUUCCUCUGAGCUCUGGGUCAACGGUCACGGCACGCGGCUGCAAACGGUAAGAACCUGUCAGAUUUCCUGCCCGGAUCCUCCGUUUCCUGCUAUCUGCGUGUCACCUUAUCUGCGAGAACAGAUGGGCGGUCGUCAGGUAAAGAUCCGCGGGCGCGUGCAGCGACUUCUCCGUUCCGUACGCGCCACAUCGCACGCGUGCCGGCUACACGUGGCCUCCGCACAGAUUCUACAAACCCACCAGAUGUGCAACUCCUGCGUUCCGCGUCACUCUCCACCAGAUGUGCAACUCCUGCGUUCAGCAUCACACUCCACCUCUGUCAGCUACGGGAGGCCGUGGCUGGCACUGCGGCAGGAGCUUCCGGUGCUAUAUUACGGGAGAACCCGCAGUGAUUGUUACAUCAACAUUAUAACGUUCACCUGUGAACAUUCUUAUCGCACGCUGUAUUUGUGAUCUUGCACCUUAAAGGGUUAAAAGGGAUCAGGCUCUGUGG